rnacentral:tRNA from 1 species
GGGCCUAUAGCUCAGUCGGUAGAGCACUUGACUUUUAAUCAAGGGGUCGAAGGUUCGAAUCCUUCUGGGCCUACCA